UACACCCGUCCUCUUGUUCACUCUUUAAAGUGUUUGUAUUUGGUGUUCCUUAAUGAAAAAAGGAUAUGAAUAAUCGAGAAAUGGGAUAAGAAAUACCGACAUUCGUACCGCUAAUGGGCAGAUUCUGACAGAUUUGUAAUGACAGGCUGUUGAUGUAACACUUGACUGCAAAAUUUUGAAGUUCUGCCCUGGUGGUCUCCAGCUUCACCGGCUCCACCAUGUUUUCCUGCUCGUCUGGCUCCACUGUGUUCUCCAGCACGCCAACCUUUCCAGUAGUUCUUGGACAGUUUAUAAAAGUACAAUUUGAAGGCACAAGAUCAGAGAAAGGACUCAAAUCACCCGCAGUCAACCAGAGAUUGAGCUUUUACCAGGGCCAUCUUGACCCAUGUUGACUCACCAACCGGCUGUAUCGCACGUCUCAAUGGACGAAGAUUUCCAUGAUUGACUCCUUCUCGUCGUGAACGAAAAGACAACCGGUACUGAUAAGAGCCAUGUGAAACAUUCGGGAUUUCUUGCUGAACACACUGAUGAAUAAACUCCAGGGGUCGCGGCGAAAUAGUACGGCCACUGUCCAACCCAAAACCAGAGUAAUCCAGGCAAGGAUAGUGCGCCGGUAAACUUGAUAAACAUAGCUUUAGCUUGAAUGCAAUUCCUCCCCGCUUUCCCCUCUGUCGGCGGCAUUUCCUCCCAGUGAAAUCCCAUAGCGACCAGCACAAGCAGGCAGGAAUAGACGUUAUAAAAGGUGGAGGUGGACAAUUAAAAUUAGAUCCCCUCAAAGCAGUGCUUGAUAAAACUUCAACUGAGCUCUUUAUAUUAAGGAGCAUUUGACAGUCAUACACUAACAGUGCAUGUACAGUAUGA